UCCGGUUGAUCCUGGCAGAGGCCACUGCUAUCGGAGUUCGAUUAAGCCAUGCGAGUCGAGAGGUGUAAGACCUCGGCAUACUGCUCAGUAACACGUGGACAACCUACCCUGAGGAGGGGGAUAACCCCGGGAAACUGGGGAUAAUACCCCAUAGGCUAUGGAUGCUGGAAUGCUCUGUAGUUAAAAAGGUCCGCCGCCUCAGGAUGGGUCUGCGGCCGAUUAGGUUGUUGUUGGGGUAACGGCCCAACAAGCCUGUAAUCGGUACGGGUUGUGGGAGCAAGAGCCCGGAGAUGGAUUCUGAGACACGAAUCCAGGCCCUACGGGGCGCAGCAGGCGCGAAAACUUUACAAUGCGAGCAAUCGUGAUAAGGGAACUCCGAGUGCCCGUAAAAUCGGGCUGUCCGCCAGUGUAAAUAACUGGUGAAGAAAGGGCCGGGCAAGACCGGUGCCAGCCGCCGCGGUAAUACCGGCGGCUCGAGUGGUGGCCACUAUUACUGGGCUUAAAGCGUUCGUAGCUGGUCUGUUAAGUCUCUGGGGAAAUCUUCCGGCUUAACCGGAAGGCGUCUCAGGGAUACUGGCAGACUAGGGACCGGAAGAGGUGAGAGGUACUCCAGGGGUAGGAGUGAAAUCCUGUAAUCCUUGGGGGACCACCUGUGGCGAAGGCGUCUCACCAGAACGGCUCCGACAGUGAGGAACGAAAGCUGGGGGAGCAAACCGGAUUAGAUACCCGGGUAGUCCCAGCUGUAAACGAUGCGCGUUAGGUGUAUCGGUGACCACGAGUCACCGAGGUGCCGAAGAGAAAUCGUGAAACGUGCCGCCUGGGAAGUACGGUCGCAAGGCUGAAACUUAAAGGAAUUGGCGGGGGAGCGCCACAACGGGUGGAGCCUGCGGUUUAAUCGGACUCAACGCCGGGAAACUCACCGGACAAGACAGCUGAAUGAUUGCCGGGCUGAAGACUCUGCAUGACUAGCUGAGAGGAGGUGCAUGGCCGUCGUCAGUUCGUACUGUGAAGCAUCCUGUUAAGUCAGGCAACGAGCGAGACCCA
rnacentral:rRNA from 1 species